rnacentral:lncRNA from 1 species
CUGUGCACUUGCUAAGUGUUACUAAAGACAUCCUCAAUGCUAUGGAAGACUGCAUACAAAGGUUCUGCCCAAUCUGUGAGAAAAGUGAGCGUGAUCAUCUUCCCGUCACAGCAACUGGAAAUAUUUAUGACAGUAUGAAAAAGAAAAGAAAGGGCUUUGUGCCCCUGACCCCAGUAUUCUCGGAAUUAAAAAGCAAGUUGUUCAUUUUGUACAAAUCUGUGUGCCUGUGAGCAGUAUCACUGAUGUGUUUAUUGGUAAACUUUCAUGCUAUUAAUUUUUUUUAACACUUUAGGUCUUACAAGACAUUCUUCCAAGAAGCAAGAUAAUUUGGUUUUGGAAAAGAAAAAGAGUCGGCCAUUUUUCAGGAUCAGUUCUUGGCACCACCAGAGAGCAGCAGUGUAUCCUGAACUUGAGCCAGAAACCUCUCUUGUUAAUUCCAGCUUUCGACUUCAUUUGCUAUGUGAUCUUGGAUUAAUUCUAAACCUUCUCAGAGACUCUUUUCAGAUCCUACACAGUUUGGAUGAUGAGAGACCAAGGAUAGAGUCCCUCAGGUAGCUUGGACUGUCAUGGUGGACCCGGAAUGCAGACUCUUACUCGUCAGCAAAACUUGCAAUAAAGUUACACUUUCCUUGUCA